rnacentral:rRNA from 1 species
AGCUCCAAUAGCGUAUAUUAAAGUUGUUGUGGUUAAAAAGCUCGUAGUUGGAUCUCGGCGGUCUGAGGGCGGUUCGCUUGAUUGAGUGCUACUGCUCUAUAGGCCGUGGUUUUGCCAGAGGUCUCGGGGUGCUCUUAACCGAGUGUCCUGCGAUGCUGGCAGGUUUACUUUGAAAAAAUUAGAGUGCUCAAAGCAGGCUUUUACGCCUGAAUAUUCGUGCAUGGAAUAAUAGAAUAGGAAGUCGUUUCUAUUUUGUUGGUUUUCGGAAAUCGACUUAAUGAUUAAUAGGGACAGUCGGGGGCAUUUGUAUUCAAACGACAGAGGUGAAAUUCUUGGAUUUAUGAAAGAUGAACUUAUGCGAAAGCAUUUACCAAGGAUGUUUUCA